rnacentral:tRNA from 1 species
GCGGGAGUAGUUCAAUGGUAGAACGGCAGCCUUCCAAGCUGCUCACGAGGGUUCGAUUCCCUUCUCCCGCUCCA